CUUCUCACUUCAUCCCCCUAUCCACCCACCUGGCUUCACCUAUCACCUCCCAGCUUCUUACUUCAUCCCACUAUCCACCCACUUGGCUUCACCUAUCACCUCCCAGCUUCUUACUUCAUCCCCCUAUCCACCCACCUGGCUUCACCUAUCACCUCCCAGCUUCUUACUUCAUCCCCCUAUCCACCCACCUGGCUUCACCUAUCACCUCUCAGCUUGUACAUCUUUCCCUCACCCUUCUAUCUUAUUCUGGUGUUAUCCCCCUUCCUUUCCAGUCUUGAUGAAGAGUCUUGGCCUGGAGUGAGUGAGUUGCUUUGGAUUUCUAGCAUCUGCAGAUUUCAAGCAGCUGUUGAUGUGGAGAAAUGAAACUGAGUUCUCCAGAUUGUAUCUUGGGAUACUUCGUAAAAGCAAUGUGGACCUGCUACCUUUGGGAGAGCACAUCGACAGCCUCUGUAAUCACUCGCCUAUUUACUGGCUCCAGAAAAGUAACAGGCCUUCAAGGCAACGGCUGAUCUACUUCUGCAUCGAUAUCUGCUUUCCAAAUAACGUCUGCGUCUCAGUAUGUUUUUACUAUCUGCCAGAUUAAACAACUGCAUUUUUCUUCAUGUUUGUCUUAAUGUUAAAACACAAAAUUAAUGUUCCACUGUGCCACUUCCUUUAGUUCUGCAGUUUUCAGUCCCUUCAUUCUCAGUAUUUUUUCCAGUGUUCUGAUAAUUAUUGAGCUCAUCGUGGAAAAAAGCACAUUCCCCAUUCUCACCCACUGAAAACCUGGAACUAACUGGAACAAGACAAUGGGAUUCCUGUUGUAAUGGUAGAUACUGAAUGGGUGAAGACAGGAUGAAAGGAAGGGAGCAAUUGGAAAGGAAAUAUCUUUCAUGCAAAUGUUGGUUUGAUGGAUCACUUCAACACCAUUGUUUUUCAUUUCAUUUUCCAAAUCAAGACCUUUCAGUUCUUAAGUUAAGGUUUCUAAUGUGACCAAAGUUUGACAUUUUACUUUGGAAUUCAAACACUAGAAUAUUGGUGUAUGUUAUACAGAUGAAAGAUUUAUUAAUCUGCUAUGCUUCUCAGAGAACAAAAUAAAACUGAUGAAAUCAAU